AUUGAACGCUGGCGGCAGGCCUAACACAUGCAAGUCGAGCGGUAACACAGGGAGCUUGCUCCCGGGUGACGAGCGGCGGACGGGUGAGUAAUGUCUGGGAAACUGCCUGAUGGAGGGGGAUAACUACUGGAAACGGUAGCUAAUACCGCAUAACGUCGCAAGACCAAAGAGGGGGACCUUCGGGCCUCUUGCGAUCAGAUGUGCCCAGAUGGGAUUAGCUAGUAGGUGGGGUAACGGCUCACCUAGGCGACGAUCCCUAGCUGGUCUGAGAGGAUGACCAGCCACACUGGAACUGAGACACGGUCCAGACUCCUACGGGAGGCAGCAGUGGGGAAUAUUGCACAAUGGGCGCAAGCCUGAUGCAGCCAUGCCGCGUGUAUGAAGAAGGCCUUCGGGUUGUAAAGUACUUUCAGCGGGGAGGAAGGUGCUGAGGUUAAUAACCUCAGUAAUUGACGUUACCCGCAGAAGAAGCACCGGCUAACUCCGUGCCAGCAGCCGCCGUAACAC
rnacentral:rRNA from 1 species